GGGUCAUUAUAUGAGCCUAGUGGAAAAAAAAAUAAAGGAAUUGACGGAAGGGCACCACCAGGAGUGGAGCCUGCGGCUUAAUUUGACUCAACACGGGAAAACUCACCCGGCCCGGACACUGUUAGGAUUGACAGAUUGAGAGCUCUUUCUUGAUUCGGUGGGUGGUGGUGCAUGGCCGUUCUUAGUUGGUGGAGCGAUUUGUCUGGUUAAUUCCGAUAACGAACGAGACUCUAGCCUGCUAAAUAGUACGCCGAUACCUUUUCGUCGGUGCUGACUUCUUAGAGGGACGCGUUUGCGCACGCUGUGGGCACUGGGGGGCAGCGAGUUUUUCCUGGUUCGAAAGAACCGGGUAAUCUGUUGAAUUCCCUUCGUGACAGGGAUCGGGGCUUGCAAUUAUUCCCCGUGAACGAGGAGUAAGCGCAAGUCAUCAGCUUGCGUUGAUUACGUCCCUGCCCUUUGUACACACCGCCCGUCGCUACUACCGAUUGAAUGGUUUAGCAAGGUCGGAUUGGUGCCGACUUGGUGGCAACACUAGGUCGGAUACUGAAAAGAAGAUCAAACUUGAUCAUUUAGAGGAAGUAAAAGUCGUAACUUUCCGUAGGUGAACCUGCGGAAG
rnacentral:ncRNA from 1 species